UACGUAGGGUGCGCGAGCUGUCCGGAUUUAUUGGGUUUAAAGGGUGCGUAGGUGGCUUGGUAAGUCUUGGGUGAAAGGCUACGGCUUAACCGUAGGAAUGCCUGAGAGACUGCCCGGCUUGAGUAUCGUGGAGGUAGCUGGAAUUGGUGGUGUAGCGGUGAAAUGCAUAGAUACCACCAGGAACACCGAUUGCGUAGGCAGGCUACUACGGGAUAACUGACACUGAGGCACGAAAGCGUGAGGAGCGAACAGG
rnacentral:rRNA from 1 species